rnacentral:rRNA from 1 species
AGCGAACGCUGGCGGCAGGCCCAACACAUUCAAGUCGAACGAACCUUUCGGGGUUAGUGGCGGACGGGUGAGUAACACGUUGGAACGUGCCUUUAGGUUCGGAAUAACUCAGGGAAACUUUUUCUAAUACCGAAUGUGCCCUUCGGGGGAAAGAUUAAUCGCCUUUAGAGCGGCCCGCGUCUGAUUAGCUAGUUGGUUGAGGUAAUGGCUCACCAAGGCGACGAUCAGUAGCUGGUCUGAGAGGAUGAUCAGCCACAUUGGGACUGAGACACGGCCCAAACUCCUACGGGAGGCAGCAGUGGGGAAUCUUGCGCAAUGGGCGAAAGCCUGACGCAGCCAUGCCGCGUGAAUGAUGAAGGUCUUAGGAUUGUAAAAUUCUUUCACCGGGGACGAUAAUGACGGUACCCGGAGAAGAAGCCCCGGCUAACUUCGUG